rnacentral:rRNA from 1 species
UACGGGGGGGGCAAGCGUUGUUCGGAAUUACUGGGCGUAAAGGGUUCGUAGGUGGCCUGCUAAGUCAGACGUGAAAUCCCUCAGCUUAACUGGGGAACUGCGUCUGAGACUGGCGGGCUUGAGUGCAGGAGAGGAACGCGGAAUUCCAGGUGUAGCGGUGAAAUGCGUAGAUAUCUGGAGGAACACCGGUGGCGAAGGCGGCGUUCUGGACUGUUCCUGACACUGAGGCACGAAGGCCAGGGGAGCAAACGGG